rnacentral:snRNA from 1 species
UAGGACAUCUCCAUCAGUGAGAU